UCUACAACCCUCUAAAUAAAUCAAACAAGACAUGAAACUGAAGUCAUCCAACUGCCUUACAACCUCUAACAAAAGUCUAAGGCAAAGAAAUCACCCAUGAGCAGAUCUACAACCUCUAACUUUGACAAAAACAUCACAAAUUGGGACUUAGUAAAAAUUACAGAUUUUCACCAGUUGCUCGUGCUCCAAAGCAUUUUGGCAACCUCCAAAAUGAUAUCUACAGGAGGUAUCUGCACAUGAAAUUUUACAUGGAGCUAUACAAACAUACCAGCAAACAAACAUUAGUUUGUUGUUUGGGCUAAUUCCCAACGGAGGAGAAAAUAUAAACAAAACAACAAGGGAAGAGAAUAACUCCAGAUUCCAAGACUCGGUGAAAUUCUCAGGUUUUCACCAAUCUGUCAUAUCAGUCAAGUGUCCACUUUGACAAGGUGUAAUAAGCACAUGCAAAAACAUAUGAGCAACACAUUUGCCCCAAGUUGUAGAGGGGUUCACCCACUACCAUUCCGUCAAGGAAUCACUAACAAUGGAUCACAGCUCCACCAGAUAUGAGGCUCUAAACAGGGCAUGAAAAUAACAAUGCAACACUUAGGGAAAUAAAAUAUACAUGGAGAGGGGUCCACUUGGCAAUGGCUCUCUCUUAGGAUGACAUGUGGGUCCUUUGGACCCACUCUCACACACACACACACUACUCUACAUGUGCUACAGCCUCUCAGACAUACACACAUACACAUACACAUGGAAAACAAAAUACAAAGAAAAGGUGCCAAGGGGGGGGCGAACCCACCACUUCCCUGGUAGAACUAACCUACUCCACCACUGGGCUAUCAUCUCAGUGCUGCACUAUAGGGAGAACCACAGGAAGUAAGGUGUCUCUGUUGAUAAUGCACAGGAAAAUUAAAUCAAUCAACAAAAGGGGUCCACUUGGCAAUGGCUCUCUCUUAGGAUGACAUGUGGGUCCUUUGGACCCACUCUCACACACACACACACUACUCUACAUGUGCUACAGCCUCUCAGACAUACACACAUACACAUACACAUACACAUGGAAAACAAAAUACAAAGAAAAGGUGCCAAGGGGGGGGCGAACCCACCACUUCCCUGGUAGAACUAACCUACUCCACCACUGGGCUAUCAUCUCAGUGCUGCACUAUGGGGAGAACCACAGGAAGUAAGGUGUCAUAAUGCACAGGAAAAUUAAAUCAAUCAACAAAAGGG
rnacentral:lncRNA from 1 species